rnacentral:rRNA from 1 species
GACGAACGCUGGCGGCGUGCUUAACACAUGCAAGUCGAGCGGUAAGGCCCUUUCGGGGGUACGACGAGCGGCGAACGGGUGAGUAACACGUGGGUGACCUGCCCUCAGCUCUGGGAUAAGCCUGGGAAACCGGGUCUAAUACUGGAUAUGACUCCAUGACGCAUGUUGUGGGGUGGAAAGCCUUGUGCGGCUGAGGAUGGGCCCGCGGCCUAUCAGCUAGUUGGUGGGGUAACGGCCACCAAGGCGUCGACGGGUAGCUGGUCUGAGAGGACGACCAGCCACACUGGGACUGAGACACGGCCCAGACUCCUACGGGAGGCAGCAGUAGGGAAUCUUGCGCAAUGGGCGAAAAGCCUGACGCAGCAACGCCGCGUGGGGAUGACGGCCUCGGUUGUAACCC